CUUCCCUCCCUUUCUUCCUCCCUCCCUCCCUACCUACCUUUCCGUGUCCUUUCCUUCCUGGGAGAGGCUUCAGAGCAAACAUUAAGAUAUUUUUCCCAGUGCAUCUCCAACAGUCUACUAUUAGAAGAUGAAAUACAGACCCAGAGAAUUCAGAUGUCACCUUCCCCAAAGUGACUUGCGUGGGGGAAAGAUGCUCUGGAAAGCUAGACAAGUGUCCUCCUGAUUUAACAUCAUUCACCUUUCCAUAAUGGGCUCUGCACAGCACAGGGGCUGGUUCAGACAGGAAGUAUUGGACUAGCACUUAGAGGACAACAGAAGAGAUGCAGUCCAAGUAGUUUUCUAGGUUCUUCAGAGCACGGAAAAAGGCUGUGGCCUCCCUGGGAAAGAGGUUCUCUCAUGGAGAAAAACAAAAUCAUCUUGGAUCUCCUCAGGCAACUAAAUGGUGUCUAUCCAGCAAACACAUCCACACAGGCCAGUGUUGAGAUGGCUAUAUCAUACAGGCAAGUCAAUCAGUCCUGUGAUGGUUCCAAGGCAGCCAAAGUAUGUAGGAACGAGGUGGCCAUCCUUCAUCUUGUGGGUAGAACAAGUUCUCCUGGUAGAGAGCCCAAGGGCUUGGCUGAGGAGAGAAGAGCUGGAAGGAUCUUGAGAAGCAUUGGCUAUGUCUGCUUUCCCGCUUGUUUUGAGGGAUCUGAACAGUAUCUGCCAAGACUUACCAGAUCUGAACCCUCAAGCAAUGGGAGUCAGGAAAAGGGGGAGUGAGAAGAGAGGUACUUCUGCAAGGCAGUGGCUCUGUUCCCUGAGAUAAAAGGCCUUCUGCCAUCUCUCCACAAGUCUUCCAAUCCCUACAAUAGAAGGUCUUCCCCAGUUUGGCCAAGGAAAUUUGGCAAACCCUCCAAGGUUUGGUGAGACAAGGUUGAGUGCUUCCCUGGAUCGUCCCACCACUAGCAUGAUGGACCAUGAGGCUUGCCUGAUGCUGGCCACAACCCCACGUGUGCGUUCAGUGACACAUUGGGCUAUCCCACGCCUUCCCUGAAGUUUGCCCACACCUUCCACCAUGUUGCCGCUUGUCCACUAUGGCGCUGCUUGUCCACUAUGGCGCUGCUUAAUGAUCUCUGGUGCUGAACUCAAAAAGCAUCCCUCCCUCCCUCCCCCUUCCUCUCCCUUUCCUUCUGGCAGCUACCAAACAUACAGUUUGGCUGCUCUGUUGUUUGUCUCCCCAACUCUAAUAAAAUUGUCC
rnacentral:lncRNA from 1 species